rnacentral:ribozyme from 12 species
UCCAGAAAUGAUUCAAAGCACUGAAAAUGGUUGAUACAUCCCAGGAUACAUUGAAUAAUGUGUCUGUAUUUUUUUAUUUCACCUAAAAACUCAUCUUUGUCACAUUUUUUUUUUUUUUUCUGAUUUUCCUACUUUCUGAUAUGCUAAAUUUGGGUGCUGACAAAUAGAACAAUGGCUUAGAACGCUUCAGAGAGGGAGUUUCCACAUAAAAAAAUUCCUGGGUACCAGUUUUCUUUUAUAUUUUGAGGAUCUA